UAAUUUUUUGUAUUUUUAGUAGAGACGGGGUUUCACUGUGUUGGCCAGGAUGGUCUCGAUCUCCUGACCUCGUGAUCCGCCCGCCUCCGCUUUCCCAAAGUGCUGGGAUUACAGGCGUAAGCCACCGCACCCGGCCAGGAAAAUGUUAUUGUUUGGAAUUAGCAUUAAGAUAUUCUGUAUACCUUUUUUAACUUAUUUUUUUAUUCACAGACUUGACAAAACAAAGCACCCUGCGAGAGAAAUCCUGAGCUUGGAGGAUCUGACAAAGGAGCGUCUUCAUGUACCCCACACAGGGUCAUGUUACUCACCAAGGCAGGGCACUAACAUCACACCCCGUCUUUCAUCAGUGGAUAAUGAAAGGCAGUUGAGACUCUUUGCAGUGAUUUAUGGAGUUUCGCUCUUGUUGCCCCGGCUGGAGUGCAAUGGCAUGAUCUCGGCUCACCUUAACCUCUGCCUCCCAGGUGUUAAAGGUGACUGUCUACAAGCUGGGAAGAGAGCCCUCACUAGGAACAGAAUUGGCCAGCAU